rnacentral:lncRNA from 1 species
UGGGUAGUUGAGAUUGAAGUGCAAACAGAAGAAAACAAAACUAUGAUUACGAUGAUGAAGAAGAAGAUAAUGAAGAUGAAGCGUGGGGUUCGUAUCUUCUUCACCUCAGUUCAUCAACUUCUUCUUCAUCAAAUAUAAAAAAUAACAGAAAGCGCUCACCUCACCCUCUUUUUUAUUUCUCUCAGGCAAAUUAACAAACAGGUAAUGGACAAUGCGCCAGAUAGAAAUAGAAUUACAGCCAGAUGAGGGCGAAGAGACUAAAGAAUAAUAGCCUAAUUAUGUGACUCGACAAAAAGG